UCUAUAUCCAACUUUUCAGAAGAUCCCCAUCAGGAACAGGAGCCAUUGUUAAGUGUUGGAUAUAUUUACACGCUGUUAAAUGAAGUACUCUGCCAAGUGUAUAAACACACUCUGAACACACAAGAAAUGGAAGUUGUGGUUGGACUGAUGAUAAUGCUACUGGGAGUAUCUCAUGGUGUGGAAACUUACUGUGAUGGCAGACAGGAUGGAGCUCAGUGUUAUGGAGCUUUGGGGGGAACUGUGGACAUCCAGCUGAUGGACAGCACCUCAGAAAUACCUAGAUAUGAACUGUUAAAGAAUUCAUUAAAAAUACUAUAUGUGAGAAAUAAUACAGUUCUUUCUAAUAUAAUACAAAGUAGGUCUCUUUUUAUUCCUAGUAAUGGAAGAUUUAGGAUCAAUAACUUGAGCAGGAAUGAUAGUGGUAAAUAUACACUUAUAACCUUUGAUUUAGAUGGAAAAGUAUCAAGCAAGCGGUCUUUACAGUUGUUCAUUCAAGCUCCUGUGUCCUCUGUCCUGCUGGUCUCUGAGUGUCUGUCCCAGGGAGAGAUGAGGGUGUCCUGCUCCUCUGAGGGAGGGGACAGUCCUCAGUACAGCUGGACUCUGGAUGGACGCACACUGACAGAUGCUGAGCUCCUUUCUGUAAAUAACAAGACUAACAACAUCACUCUGAAACAGCACGUCUCAGGACAUCUGGUCUGCUCAGUCAGGAACAACGUCAGUAAUGUCUCCAAAGAAGAGAGAAUAUCUACAUGUGGCUUCAGUUUCAUAAACUGCACCUUAAUCAAUGGGACACAGAUAUCAGGGUGGGUGUAUGAAGCCAACAACACCCUGUGUAUUAAACCAACAAUCACAACUAGAGGCAGUACUGUGGGUGAUGAGACUGGAGUAGUGUCAGUUAAAAACAGUAUAACACCCUUUAAUCAAACUGCCUGCAGUGAUGGCACAUGGCACAAUAAUAAGUCUUUGCUUAUGUGUGGUUUGAGAGCAGUUGUGGUCAUUCUCUUGUUAGUUGGGAUUUACAUCUACUUCGCUUGGAGGAAAAAGAAACAUGACAAAGCUGAAGUCUCUGCUGUCCCACAAACGAGAGGAGAUCCAGAGGACUCUGUUCUGAUGAUUGAAAUGAGUUCUGCAACUUACGCCAACACCUAGUUUCACCUUUAAAUUACUGAAAUCUGACAAAACAACACAUUUUUUGUUUUUAUUCUUCACAACAUAUGUUUCUCUUUAACAGCUCAUAGUGACUUUUUUGUGUGUGGAAGCUUUGAUUACAAAAGGUUGUGACUUUAAUCUGAACUACUUUUUUACUUAAGGUGAAAUUAGUCAAGUAAAUUCUUAAACUGAAAAAUCUGAAAAAUUUAAUGUCACCAAGCUGGAAGCAAGGGUUAUUGUCUUAGAAGAUUCAGGCAAUUUGGGGUUUUUUUGUUUUGUUUUGUUUUGUUUUGUUUUAUUUCAAAUUGACUUGAUAGGUAUCUGUACUUCUUAAAUGUUAAUUUCGAAAAGCAUGUGUUUUUUAUGUUUGUUUGUUAAGUUUUAGACCAUUGCACCAUCAUCUAUUUAUCUCAUAUGGUUCUAAUUACACAUUACAAAACUGUUGUUGCCAUUGUGACAAACAAUAAUUGUAUAAAGCCUGUAAUAAGAUUAAAAGCAGGAGCUUUAAUUUAAUCACUUUCUGCUGCUUUGGUAAGCUGUCUUUUUAUGUGUCCUCAGUUUAUCUAAGAACACUUUUGGUAACAAAAGUGUUCUUCUGAGAAGUAACCAAAACUUCAUCAGAAUGUGGAGGUGCUGACUUGAUAGGUAUCUGUACUGUUCAGUGAAACUCUGUUAAACAAAACAUUAAAAUGUUUAAGGGAAAACAAUGAUCAAUUAAAACACGAUUGCAAAAGCAAAACAAACAAAACGGACAUUCAAAGCAUCGUGUUUCUUUGUAUCAUAAGUGGUCAGUGUUGGGUGAAAUAUUCUAACCACAUAAAUGCAAACAAGAGGAGGAUGGCCUGAGACAUUUUUGAGUCAGCUUCAGAACAGGAACAUAAAAUUGAAAAACUAUGAAGUUCAGAAAAGUGUGAAUCAACAGCAUAGUGUGAAUGUAUUUUAUCACCAUGUGUAGUGUUACCAUGAAACAACAUUAAAACCAUCAGUUUCACAAAUAAUAAAUGUCAAAACCUUUUUCUAAAUUGAUGACACAUUUUCUUCUGUUUUGAUCUGCUCUGCUCUUCAAGUACGAGUUUGCUUUUCUUUGUUUCAGAAAUUUUGUUUCAAAUAAAUCCUUUACAUUUAUUUU
ensembl:lncRNA